GUGAAAGGGCCUGAUACUUCUGGGGCCAUCAAAGGUCAGCGAGACACGUUCCCUCUGGGCACCGGGCGUGCCCUAGAAUUCAUUCGCAGCCGACUGAUGGGCGAGUCACUGGUGACUCAUCACCUGGAAGGGGGAAGGGCAGCUUUUCAGCCGUGGCGGGAGCGUGCUGGUGGGUUCGCGGCCCUCAGGAGACAGAACCAGCGCGUCGGGAGGAUAAAUACGAUACAAACCGCUGGAGUCACAAGCCAAACGGCCCCCGAACCCAGCGCGGGCGUGACCAUGGCCUUUGUGCGGGGAGCCGCGCAGAGCCGGCCCGCGUGGGGCACACGUUUGCACGCAGGAUCCUGCCGGCCGAGAGAGAGGAACGCAGCUCAUUUGGUGGAGAAGAAACAGGGAAACUCUGAAAUUAAUUAAAAGAUUCUCCAAAGCAACCCGUUUCCUUUAGGCCCGAGGUAUGACAACCAACCCAAUCCCUCCCUAUCAGCCCCCUCACUUUAAUUUUUGCGAUGUCAAUUUUCAUUACUAUUAAUUAUUUGCCGACCUUCAACUGUACAUCCGGUGUUGCCCUGAUUAACAAGAAGCUUGCGGGUGCUUGUG